rnacentral:rRNA from 1 species
GGGGGGGGGGGGGGGGGGGGGGGGGGGGGGGGGGGCGGGGGGGGGCGCGGGGGGAGCCCUGGGGGCGGGUGGCGAACGGGUGGGUAAUGCAUCGGAACGGGCCCGGGCGUGGGGGGUAACGUAGCGGAAGUUACGCUAAUACCGCAUGCGAUCUGAGGAUGAGAGCGGGGGACCUUCGGGCCUCGCGCGCUCGGAGCGGCCGAUGUCAGAUUAGGUAGUUGGUGGGGUAAAGGCCUACCAAGCCGACGAUCUGUAGCUGGUCUGAGAGGACGACCAGCCACACUGGGACUGAGACACGGCCCAGACUCCUACGGGAGGCAGCAGUGGGGAAUGUUGGACAAUGGGCGCAAGCCUGAUCCAGCCAUUCCGCGUGCAGGACGAAGGCCUUCGGGUUGUAAACUGCUUUUGUAUGGAACGAAAAGGCUCUGGCUAAUACCUGGGGCUCAUGACGGUACCGUAAGAAUAAGCACCGGCUAACUACGUG